ensembl:lncRNA
GUUGGUUGAAAUUGCUUAAAUGCUUGAAAAAUUCUGUACAUAAAAUCUGCAGGUAUACUUUUACUGGUUGAUUCUGAUCAGCUUAGCCAACUGAAUCCAUGAGUGCAAAGGCUGCAAUGGACAGUGAAUGCACUGAUAACCAGUUUGGUGCUACAGGAAAGCAUUGCCUUUCAUUGAUGGAGAUUUUGAUGGACUUAGGAGUCAGUCCAACUGCCUUGGCUAAGGGGUCAGGAAAGAUUUCUUCACUCCCAGGUAAAAACAGCAUGAUGGAUUUGCUCAGCUUCCUCAAAGUCAAGACAAAAAGGAUAUACACUUCUUGGAGAGGAUUCAGGAAUUUCUAUUAGUCAUCUGUAAGAAUAUUGUGCACAGUGUGGAUAAAGAUCAAAUAACCAAUUUUACUAAGUAAGGAAAUCCUGGAAUUUCAUCAGUAGACCUUGAAAGAAGAAUGGAGAUGAAUCAGUCUUCACAAACUAAUAUCUUCAUUUGAGUUCCUUUCACCCAGUGCACAGCUGUGUAAGGAUAAAGACUAAUGAGAAUAGCUUUUGGAGCAGCUUGAAGAAAACACUAUCUCUGUAAUGUAUUAUACGAUGUAAGUCUUGUAACUUGACCAUUUUAAGAACUGCAAAAUUAAGUCAAUACACUGAAUCCUGCUUCUUAAAUUGCUCCUGGUAUUUCAAUUACCUCUAUAUUCAAUUACUUAUUGAAUUUUAUUUUGAUCAAUCAGCUUUGGCUUGGGACUGUCUGUCCAAGCAUUUUUAGUCUAUACUGGUCGGAUGCAUGUUUGUUUUUAUGAAGGUUCCACAGUUUCAAAAGAAUUCAAUGUAAUUAUUGUAGAGUUUCAGAGAAACUGCAUGAAAAAUUUUCAGACUUGGAUUCUGAAAUCUUUUGAAUAAGCAAGGUGAAAUGGAAAUGAAGAACAGUAGCUCAGACACUAGAGGAAACUCUUACACAGUAAAAAGGCAGGAAUAUAAGGUAGUACCAUAGAGAUGUAAAUAUGCAUUAAUGUGUUUAUUGCAAAAAUACAACUGUAGUUUUUGGCUUAUUUGUACACAGCAAUUGAGUUUUGUCUUUUUAUCCAGUUGCAAUUCAUUGCAGUGAAAGUAUAUCUAUGCUAAAUACAAGACUGGAACAGUUCAAAAGUAAUUUUGCAAAACAGUUAAUGUUUAGGGGGAAGAAUAGGGAACAUCUAUUCUGAUCACUCUUUUUAUUAAAACCUGAAAUUUGUCUUUGAGACUGGCAAAACAACUUCGCCAUUUCCUGAAACAUUUCAGUUAGAGAAAUUUUUUCCACAGAAUGCAAUUGUUUCCCUUAGAAAUUCUCCAUGCUGUGACUGUGUGACUUAAUUAAAGUGUUUUGCUCCCUAUGCAUAAAACAAAUAUUGCUGACUGAAGCAACUAUCCUUAUGCUGGCCUCCUGGACUAGAUUUACAGCAAUGUUUAGCAUCUCCCUUGCAGAAAGAGACAUCUAUUUUUUUAUAAGUGGGUUUAGGCAUUAGGUAUUUCAAAAAAUGCUUUCAGCAAACAAUAAAGAUUUGUCCCUUUAUCCCUGUUGUGUUUUG